rnacentral:lncRNA from 1 species
AAAAGGAAAAAAAUAAAAUCUUAAAAAAAAUCUUUUAUUUUCACUUUUGUUAAAUAGAUAAUUAAAUAUUCUUUCAUAUUGAUCUGUGAUCCUAUUUAGGCAAAUGUUUAAACCUUUGAUAUCGUUAAUAAACUUCUCAAAAUCAGAUUCUAAAAAUGAAGUCUUUUUGACUUGGAAGAAACUUUGGGAUUUUUUCCAGAGGUCCCCUAGAACACUCCAAAGUUUAGUUAAACUAAUUAGACUUGUUUGGCAUGUUAAAUCACAUGGAAAGUCUUGUCAAAUAAGUGAUGCUAACCCUCCUUUAUGGAUAUCCCUGUAUGCAUAUAUUAUUAAUAUAAAUGUUCUAGAGAUUGUGUGAGAUUUUUUCUGAUAUGUCCUGGUAUAAUGUUAAUAAUCAUAAUUCUAGUUAUCUUAAAAUAUUAUAUGUCAUAGAAAUAACCAAAUUUCCUUGUCAAUUGCAUUGUAAUCAGAUCUUUAACCAUGCCAUUUUAAGUCUUUUGUCAUUUACAGACAGUUAUUGUUUUACUCUGAUGCUUUUGCAAAUAUGCUUCAUCUUCAGAGUGAUACAUGGAAAGGACUCUGACACUUACUCUAGAGUACAGGUUUCUGGCAAACUUUCAGAUCAUAAACCUGAACUGGGUAAGAAAUUACAGAACUCUAAUGGAGAGACUGAUGGCUUUAUAAAACUGCUAACAAAAGAUCAAGAACAAAUAUUAAUUACAUGGGACUACAUGAACUGAGGCAGAUGCUCUCAUGUUUUGUUUCUCCAGCUUUAAAGAAAUCUUUUCUCUUAAGUAUCGAUAACUUGAGCAUGAUGUUGUAAAAACACGACUCAGAUAAUGGUCUCUCAGCCCUCUGAAGUGAUUGCUAAGGCUUAUAAGCCUUCCCCUGAGAAACUCAAGGAACUACAGACAAUGUCUGCCCUUAAAGGAACUUGAUGGUAAGGCUUUUCUCUGCUCUGGCACCCUUGUUGCUCAACUGUGGCCUAAGGCUCCUAAGGAAACUACUUUCUAUCCUACGUGGGACAUGACAUAUUGGGA